UAGAGUAGUUGCCCCUUGUUUACUUAGCAUUUGACAACUCGGAUUUUGCAAAAUGGGUGAAGAAUAAGUCAUUGGAGUGGAUCUGGAUCUGGAUAUGUACGUCGCAGGACCUUUCGGUGUAGGCGCAACGGAAGAGAGGGUGGUUUAGUCCCACUGUAGGACAGUUGACCUGAAUAUGUCAACUGUGUCCGCGCGAACAACACUUUCUUCAAGAUUGUUCCACUCUAUUAAUGUCUUAGGGAAAAAUGAGUUUUUAUAUAGUUGGGUUUUGCACUGGAUUGGUGUGAAACUGAAUAUUGUUCAACGAUAUUGUUUACUUUGAAGUCUUUGAAAUGUUUAGGGGUAAUUCUACGCUUUGAUUGCCGGACUGGGGUAAGGAAGUCUUGGCUAGGCAUUGCUGGCACCAGCCCCUCAACCACCUUGAAGAAGAAGAUAAGUCUAUUGGCCUUCCUUCUUUCCUGGAGAGGUGGGAUCUUCAUACUCUUCAGCAUGUUUGUCACGUAGCCUGGUGUUUUGGUGUAGUAGUCGCCGGUUAUGAACCUCGCCGAUUGUUUUUGGAUCUUUUCAAUUUUAUCGAUGUCUUUUUGAAGGAGUGGAUCCCAGACAAUGGAGCUAUAUUCUAGAGUGGUUCUAAUUAAGGCGAAGUAUGCUGUUUUACGGCAGGAUUCUGGGCAGUGUUUCAGGUUGCGUCUUAGGAAGCCAAGUGUAGAGUUUGCUUUUUUGGUGAUCUUAUUUAUUGUUGUGUCUUUUCUUAAUAAAAGCAUUCGAUGGUUACCGGUAUUAGUUUAAUCAUUUAUUGUUGUGUUUCUUUACAAAUGACUUUAUGUUUAACUCAUUCUAUUUUGUGCCGACGUGUACUUAUCUAUGACAUUAAGAGCAAGCUGAUUUACCCCACCGCUAAUGUUGAACUUGUAGUUGUUCUACUAUUAAAUGUUGUGAUUGAACAAUACUUUACCUCGAAAUUGUUGAUUAUAACAUCAUGAUCAUGAAAAUGAAUAUGACAUCAUGAUACUGUUUGUGUUUGCUAUUUCUAAACUAGUUUAUUGUAUUUGUGAGUUAAGAAGAUGCUGAUGGUACCUUAAUAUGUAUUUAAUAAUUGUAGAAAAAUCACCAUAAUUGUUUCUAUAUUGUUCUCAUUUGAUGACAAUGUUUUUGGAUUGGUCAUUGUCAGCUCGGAUACUAAUUACCUGUACCCCCCGUACUCUUUAAGUAUAUUUACAUGUAGAGCUAACCCUGUUACAGUUAAUAUACUUUAACAUAGCCGGAAAUUUAAUGCUAAAUGGGUUGUUGUAGGCUUAAUUUUUUUUAUAUAUGUUCACAUUAAUGUCAAUUUUUUUCUCAAAUAGUCUUUAUAUCAUCGAAAUUUAUACUCAAAAAGCAUGUUGAUGCAGUUUUUUCAAAAGGUAAGUUUUAUUUAGAUAAACAAUAUCGCUUUACAUUUAUCUGUAGUGCACUGUACCACAUCGGAUUUUGGGCAGGAAUACAACUCGGGUACAGUCUAAUAAGGACUGGGUACGUUUAAGUAUAUUAACCUUACCCGAGGUACAUGCAAGUAUGCUUAAUGGUACCAGGGGUACAUGUAAGUAGUACCCAAGCUGUGAAUAACCAAUCGAGCGUGAGUAAAGAAGAUUGUACCUUAUGUCUUUAAUAAUUGCAGAACAAUUACCUUAAUUAUUUCUAUAUUGUUUUCAUUUGAUUACAAUUUAUUUAUUUGUCAAAUUCAAUUCUGCAGUGCUAAAAAUAUGCACCCCCCAUCCAAAAAUUUUAUUUCGUGCAUAUUGAUGUGGCUUUUUUAUUUAUUUACUCCUUUUCUGCAUUCCUCCCUUUUGUGUUGGUAAUGUGAACAUGAAAUGAUGAGCACUCUCAUGUUAAUGAAUAACUUUUAUUUUUUAUAGAUUUUGGUUUAUUGCAUAUUGCCAAGGGAGAUGUUUACUGAGGUUUCCAUGCCAUUAAUGUGCAGGCUGUUGCUGACGCCAGCAUGAGCAAUAUCUGAGCACGAAUGAUGAGGGUCAUCUGCUGGGAGAUAGUGGGUAUCUGUUAAGGACUAACCUGAUGACCCCUUAACCUCAUCCCUCCCAUGCUGCAGAACAGGCCUACAAUGACCAUCUUUGUAGAGCGUGGGUAGUAGAAAGGGCAUUUGGAGUGUUGAAAUAACGAGAUUGAUAUCUGCAUGCCACUGGUGGAUGUUGGCCUUUCAAGUCCAAUAAGUGCUGUGAAAUAUCAAGUGUGUACAUGCCCCUGCAUAACCUGUGUCUGGAUUCAAACGUUCCACUGAUAGAGGAAUUGGUUGGAAAUGUGAUGGAACCGGAAGUUAUGAACAACACUCCAGUACAUCGAGCAGCAUGUGAUAAGAGGCAGCAGCUGAUCAAACUGUUUCAUUUUAUUUUUUUUUUAAUUGUAGUUAUAAAUGUUAUAAAGUGAUAGAUGGCUUGAGUCUUCUCUGAAUAGGCAGAGCUACACUACUCGGCCAAAUGGCGUAAAGUUGUGUCAUCGCUGAUUUGGAAGGAUUGGUAUUCCUGGUCGUCUAGACACAAUAGUUACAACAGCUGAUGUUUGCAUGUUUUAUAAUUGUGUAUGCAUAAUUUGUCUAAUAUUUACUUCAAGGUUAUAGGAUUGUGAAAGAAAAAAAUACCAAUGUUCUGAGGACCAAUAAAAAAGUUAUGUGUUAGAUAUUACCAAGUGCCUUAUUUAAUAUUUAUAUUAAAGGGAACUUUUCCUAAAUUUUGGCAGAUAUUUAAGUUUUUCAUUAAACGCUUUUAUAUUGAUACAUGUAACCACUGGAUCUAAAAAGCUCCAGUAAAAAAAGAAUACAAUUAAAGAAAGAUAAAAAGUAACUCCUACAGGGCUCAAACCACUGACCCCUGAAGUAAAAGCCUCACUAAGACCACUUGUCCGUCCAUGUUGAUACAAUGAGUGAUGUAUUUUACACUUUAUAUAAGCAAUCCUCAUCGUGUCACAAAAUAUAACGACAAUAACAGAAUUCUACAAAUUAUUCAAUUGUCGAGUGUUGCAGCAGUUAGAUGCAACGCUUUAAAAUUUUCAAGUUUUUAAAUCGUCAAAAGAUGCAUUUAAUGGAUAAUUUAGAGCAUGGUAAAUGUUCAGUAUUACUGUUUCCUCACAAAUAUCAUAACUAUAACAAAAGUUUGCGAAUCUUAAACUUAUUUUUUAUGCCUCCCUUCGAAGAAGAGGGGGUAUAUUGCUUUGCACAUGUCUGUCUGUCGGUCCGUCCACCAGGUGGUUUCCGGAUGAUAACUCAAGAACGCUUGGGGCUAGGAUCAUGAAACUUCAUAUGUACAUUGAUCAUGACUCGCAGAUGACCUCUAUUGAUUUUGAGGUCACUAGGUCAAAGGUCAAGGUCAUGAUGACCCGAAAUAGUAAAAGGGUUUCUGGAUGAUAACUGAAGAACGCUUAUUCCUAGGAUCAUGAAACUUGAUAGGUAGAUUGAUCAUUACUCGCCGAUGACCCAUUUUCAGGUCACUAGGUCAAAGGUCAAGGUCACGGUGACCCGAAAUAGUAAAAUGGUUUCCGGAUGAUAACUCAAGAACGCUUAAGGCUAGGAUCUUGAAACUUCAUAGGUACAUUGAUCAUGACUGGCAGAUGACCCCUAUUGAUUUUCAGGUCUCUAGGUCAAAGUCACAGUGACAAAAAACAUAUUCACACAAUGGCUGUCACUACAACGGAGAGCCCAUAUGGGGGCAUGCAUGUUUUAUUUUAAUUUAGUCAAUUUACCAAAACUGGAAAAGGUCCCUUGAAUAUUGAACAGUUAUCUGAGCUCUAGAAAAGAUCAUAUACUCAAGGUACUUUUCCCAAUUCACAAAUUAUUGACCUUUGGCAUAUUGUUUACAAAGGAAACAUAAUUUAAUGAAUCAUUAAAACUCUUUAGACUCUGGCCCCCUAUAAUUCUAGGAUGAUUUUCAGGAUUUUAGGUUUCUGCAAAUUGACACCCCUGGUUAUCUAUCAUCCGGAAACCAUCUGGUGGACAGACCGACCAAGCAAAACAAUAUACCCUUUGAAGGGGGGCAUAAAAAGUGGGCUUGUAAAUGUAUCGGUACUUUAAUAUUAUAAGUGUGCUGUCUAUAAAUAUGGAUAUUAUUGUCAUAAAAAAAUAGAAGUUUUCCAGUAUAUUAGAUUGUUUCCGAAUGUAUUUACUAAACUUUACCCUUUUAUGAUUCUCUGUUCAAUUAUUUAGUCAUCUACU